rnacentral:rRNA from 1 species
ACUCCUACGGGAGGCAGCAGGCGCGAAAACUUUACAAUGCCGGCAACGGCGAUAAGGGGACCUCGAGUGCCAGGUUACAAAUCUGGCUGUCGUGAUGCCUAAAAAGCAUGCAUAGCAAGGGCCGGGCAAGACCGGUGCCAGCCGCCGCGGUAACACCGGCGGCUCGAGUGGUAACCGUUAUUAUUGGGUCUAAAGGGUCUGUAGCCGGCCGGAUAAGUCUCUUGAGAAAUCCAGCAGCUCAACUGUUGGGCUUUCAGGAGAUACUGUUCGGCUCGAGGCCGGGAGAGGUGAGAGGUACUUCAGGGGUAGGGGUGAAAUCUUGUAAUCCUUGAAGGACCACCAGUGGCGAAGGCGUCUCACCAGAACGGACCUGACGGCAAGGGACGAAAGCUAGGGGCACGAACCGGAUUAGAUACCCGGGUAGUCCAAGCCGUAAACGAUACUCGCUAGGUGUCGGCCACGGUGCGACCGUUGUCGGUGCCGUAGGGAAGCCGUGAAGCGAGCCACCUGGGAAGUACGGCCGCAAGGCUGAAACUCAAAGGAAUUGACGG